GACGAACGCUGGCGGCGUGCUUAACACAUGCAAGUCGAGCGGUAAGGCUCCUUCGGGAGUACACGAGCGGCGAACGGGUGAGUAACACGUGAGCAACCUGCCCUUCUCAUCGGAAUAAGCGUUGGAAACGACGUCUAAUGCCGAAUAUGACAACGGAUCGCAUGAUCUGUUGUGGAAAGCUCCGGCGGAGAAGGAUGGGCUCGCGGCCUAUCAGCUUGUUGGUGGGGUAACGGCCCACCAAGGCGACGACGGGUAGCCGGCCUGAGAGGGUGACCGGCCACACUGGGACUGAGACACGGCCCAGACUCCUACGGGAGGCAGCAGUGGGGAAUAUUGGACAAUGGGCGCAAGCCUGAUCCAGCAACGCCGCGUGAGGGAUGACGGCCUUCGGGUUGUAAACCUCUUUCAGCAGGGACAAAGCGAAAGUGACGGUACCUGCAGAAGAAGGACCGGCCAACUACGUGCCAGCCGCCGCUGUAAGAC
rnacentral:rRNA from 1 species